UGGGGAAUAUUGCACACUGGAGGGAACUCUGAUGCAGCGACGCCGCGUGAACGAAGAAUGCUUUCGAGUCGUAAAGUUCUUUUAUAUGGUAAGAUAAUGACGGUACCAUAAGAAAAAGCCCCGGCUAACUACGUGCCAGCAGCCGCGGUAAUACGUAGGGGGCUAGCGUUGUCCGGAAUCACUGGGCGUAAAGGGUUCGCAGGCGGAAAUGCAAGUCAGGUGUAAAAGGCAGUAGCUUAACUACUGUAAGCAUUUGAAACUGCAUAUCUUGAGAAGAGUAGAGGUAAGUGGAAUUUUUAGUGUAGCGGUGAAAUGCGUAGAUAUUAAAAAGAAUACCGGUGGCGAAGGCGACUUACUGGGCUCAUUCUGACGCUGAGGAACGAAAGCGUGGGUAGCAAACAGG
rnacentral:rRNA from 1 species